rnacentral:lncRNA from 1 species
GAUGCUGAGGCCAGAGCAAGCACUGAGGGCUAUACCUCUUCAGUUUUACCCAGAAGACAGGAACUGUCAAUAUUCCCAAGAGAAAAGCACAUGUUAGAAGGAUCCUCUGGCAUCUGUGUGGUGUAUGGAUGAAGAAGGUUGCCUAUGGGGGCUGGAAGUACAUUUAGAAAGUUGCUUCAGAGCUCACACCUGUAAUCUCAGCACUUUGGGAGGCCGAGGUGGACAGAUCACUUGAGGUGAGGAGGUUGAGGCCAGCCUGACCAAUAUGGUGAAACCCUGCCUCUACUAAAAAUACAAAAGUUAAUUGGCCGUGGUGGUGGGUGCCUGUAAUCCCAGCUACUUGGGAGGCUGAGGCAGGAGAGUUGCUUGAAUCCGGGAAGUGGAGGCUGCAGUGAGCUGAGAUCACACCACUGCACUCUAGCCUGGGCGACAGAGUGAGAGAGAGAGAGAGAAAAAAAAAAGAAAGUUGCUUUAGAAAUCUAGCAGGAACUUACAAGACAAUAUACGUGUAGCACACAAAACAUAGUGCCAAACACUAAGAAAUAUUAGGGUCAUUUUGUUUGUUUUCCCUGAAUGAGAGAAAUGACUGUGGGAAUGAAGAGAAAGUGAGUGGAUAAAAGAGUUUUUUUGAAGCUAUAAAUCCUUGAUGAACAAGUAUUGAAUAAAUGAUGCCGUAUCUUCUGGGGAUGCUGAGUGGUCUGUUAAACACCCCAUGGUGGGGAGGAGGGUUACUAAAUAAUUGUGUCCCAUGUCCUCUCCUCUCACUAGAAGCUCUUAAAAAUCCAGACAUCCAACAAGAGACCAAUAGGACACGCUGAUGUUUUAUGAAUGGGGCCAGGACCAGCCUGAGUGUGGAGCCUCAUGGGCUGAGUUUCCCCUGGAUUCAGAGCCCUGAGGUUGAGUUAUCUACUGGUCAGCUGGAUCAGUUCAGCCGCUGUAAAGAGACAGUGCCCGGCCACCCAUACAGCAUUCCUUUGUGGCAGACAAGGGACUGGUGAAAUGCAACAUAGAUGGUCUAAGGACCCUGUGCAAUGGAAACUCCAAUUGAAAUUGUACAUAACCACUAACAUUCUACCUAUUCAAGGGGGCUGAAGAUGGAGUGUAAGAAAAAGCUCCAAAGCCAGAGCGCUGUUGCAGCCUCGGCCUCAUUUUCCAACAGGUACACUGGAGUUAUAAAUACAUGCACGGGCCACAGGGAUGGUGCAGG